rnacentral:lncRNA from 1 species
UCAGUUUGCUGCCAUCUGGCGGUCACUUGCUUGCUAUUCCAAGGGUUUGGUUUUGGGGAGCAUCCAAGUAGAUCUUAGGGCCUCUUCCAUAUGUUUGUGGGUUUUUUCCGCGGGAGGACGUUCCAUUUUAGCUGAUGGAAUAUGAGUUCAUUUUGCGGUCAUUACCAUGAGUUAAGGCAGUUCUUUCAGGAGCCACCAUGACUGCGAAAAUUGUUGGAAACCGUUCCCAUGUAACACUGGUUGACGUUGUAGAUUUAUUCACUGAACACCCCACCCCCACCCCCGUCAACGUGAACUUGCAGCUUUCCAUGAAGGAAGAAGGUUGUAUGUUUCAAAGCAGUUUAAUACAUUAUUUUUAAAAAUAAAAACUUGUCCUAAAGUCCAGAGAAAUGAAAAGGCGGUAACAGUAAUGCUUGAUUGUUAACGUGUCUCUUCCCACUCUUCAAUUCCUACAGGAGUGUGACUGGAUUAUAGACUCUCUUGGAACAUAUUUAACUUUUAAAAUAAGUUCAGCAUUCAUGCUUCUUGGGAAAUCAUAACUUUAUGAAGAUGAUGCCUCUUCCCCAAUCACGCCACCAUCUCUCAGGGUACCUUACAAGGAGGCUAUGAUAAUUUUUUCUAUUUUUGGUUUCUAAUUAACAACAGCAAUGCAUGUGUUGUCAGCGGGGUGAUACCUGCAAUCAGUUGUUGUUAUUGCUGUUUGUAGCAAACGCCUAAAAUGUGGAAUUCCUCCCAUCCCUCCUCCAUGGUCUCCCCCACCUUGCAAAGAAGAAUAUUGUGCACCAAAUUAAGGCCAGUAUGGACAGAACUGAACCAGAGGCAUAUCUAUUUAACCAAAUGUGCCAGAGAUCUUAGAAGAUCAGCAUUGCAACCUCCAAAAUGCAAAAUAAUAGACAUGCAUUGUUUCUUUCUUUCUUUGUUUUGUUUGUCCAUUUGUUGAAUUUCUAUCCUGCCCUUCCUCCUGCAAACAGUCCAAGGCAGAUUAAAACAAUGACAAUUAAAAACAUCUCAGAACAGUUACAAUUGCAGUUAAAACUAUUCCAAUAGCAAAUACAAUUUAAACCAUUCUAAAAGAAGUUCUUACCAUGAAUGCUUGUCAUGCUGUUGUGCCUCAUUGGCCUGUAAUUUGCUUCUUUGGUGGUUAUGAUAGUUAUCUUUCUUAAAAUGUUUGCCUCCUAGAUAGGAACACAGGAAACUGCCAUAUUACCAAGUCAGAUCAAUUGGUCCAGCUAGCUCAGCAUUGCCUACCCUGUCUGACUGUGGCUCUCCAGGCUGCCAGGCAGGGAGCCCUCCCAGCCCUACAUCAGCUGCAGAUGGCACCUGGGAUCUCCUGCAAGUACCGUGGAUGUCCUACCUCUGAAGUCAGAAGCCUUCAUCAGAUAUUUUGUAUACAAAGGGUAUGUGUGGAUGGAUGGAGGGAUGGAUGGAUGGGGCAUCCAUGUUCUACCCCCACAAAAAUGGAAUCCUAUAGUCAUGGAGCAACAGUGUAAAUAACUGUGUUUAAAUAUAAACAUAGAAUAUUAAAAUCUCACAUUAGGACCCAGCAAGAUGACACAGUUUCCAAGGUAAAUGUAUCCAUCCAAAAUAUUUCAUGGCUUUUAAUAAAAACUGUUAGCAUGUGAAAUGACUGGGGCAGGGGGUACUGUCUUACUGUGAAGGAAUAUGACUGUGCAAGACCAUUGACCAGCUGCAUCUUCUAUGCUGUUUUGCCCAUCAAAGCCAGUUUCCAUCAUCUUUGGUACCACCGAUGAAGCUCAGGUGAGUGAUAGGCGUCUUUUUGGAUGGCUUUGAGAAGUUUGAUGAAAUCUCCUGCUGGACUUGCUUUAUCUCACCCUCUGCGCCAAUUGUUUUAGGUACACUAAAUCAUCUGCUCAGCCUGCUGGACCCUGUCUUUUUAUUCAGGGGAAGUCAUGCAUGCAUGCAAAGACAGGCUCUGGUGGAUUGAGCAGGCAAGAUGAAUAGUGGGUCCAAUGGUAAAGAAGGCAGUUUCUGCAGGUGCUGUAGAGGGAAAUGUGGGGCAGAUGGGGCUCAUCAACCUGGGAAGGUAGCCCAUCUAGGAGAAGGAAAACACUGAUCCUAAACCUCUGCUGCCUUGUGAGAUAUCUUUGGGAGAAAAAAAGGCUAAGGAGUAAACUCUGCAGAAAUCCAGAGUGGAGUUCCUAAGAUGGUUGGAUGGUGUCUUGUACGCCUCCUUCCAGCAACUCCUGGAUCCAAGCUGGUGCUAGAUGUAUUGCUCUGCUUUCCUUUGGACCACUUCAGUGAGGCUGAGUGGGGUCUUUCCAUCUGAGCAGCCCAGGACCUCCACAUGCCCUGCCCAGGUUUGCACCUUGGAGAGGUCAUUCUGUGGUUUGGCUUCAUCCACAGAGGCACUUCAUUGUCUUUCAAGACAGACAGGUGCCAACAACAAGAAUGGGCAGCUUUCAUUGCUCACAUGUAGCUUGCAAGGAAACUCUGGGCUUUUCCCAUUAAAAGCCCUCUCCAGAACCAUUUAUCUUUGACUGAACUCUCCUCUUGGUUGGAUGCAAUGCACAUAAUUUGCUUGUUUGGGUUUGCUCCCUGGCGCCUGAACCGGGAGUGAUCACUCUCCCUCCUACAACAGAACACAUUAGAGAGAACAGCCAUCACUUGUGAGACCAUUUAUUAUAGUGCCUCUGUUUUUAUUGUCAAUGGCCCUGACAGCAUUGUUUAUUUUGCUUCUGUGCUCAGCACCCAUAAAUGCAUAUAGAUAAAGCUGUGGAAAUGUGUUUGUUUUCCUCUCCUUUGCUGACAGCCAGUCUGGCUCCUGUCUUUGGUUUUUCAACCACGUGAAUAGCAAAUGGCUCCUUUUCCAGGACUAUUUCACAGAAACUAUGCAAAUGUUCCAGACCAGAAUUUACUUGCUUGAGCUGCUGUUGUAGUGGCUGGUGGUCAACUAGUGACCCAUAGACUUCAAAGGGAAAAAACCCAAUAUAAAGUUUAACAUGGGUAUUAACUGAAUGUAAAACAACAGUCCUGCUGCACUGGACAAAUCCAGCCUAGUGCUCUGUUUCCAACAGCGCUAAGCCUACUGCUUCUGAGAAGCUUUCAUGUGAGCCAUGGAGUCAACAGUACACAUGUGGCCCAGAUCUAUGUCCUCAUAGAUCCCAAGGGCUGUUUACUGUGGAUUGCAAGUUUUGCACAGUGUCCACAUGACACAUUUAUCAGAAUCCAUUUUCCAUUUAAUCCAGAAUUACCAUUUUCUGUUGGAAAUCUGGUAAGUUCUUGUUUUGAAACCAGUGGAAACAGUAUCUGGAUGACAUGGGGAGAUUUGGGUUGGCUUUUCAAUGAUGAUGGGAAUAGUGUGAACGAGUAGCAUUGAAUCAACAAUAAAAGCCACAUGGAAACACCCCAACUAGCCUAAAACAAUGUGGCAUCGUCAGAUUUGGCUGCAUAGCUCAAAGGACUGAAUUCAGUGCUCCUUCAUACAGCAUUUUUCUCCAUUGCAGAACUUGGAUUCAAAUUUCCCUCCCUUUCCAAAUUAGUAAUUGGUGAUGCUCACACUAAACACUUCUCUCAUGGGGGCAGAAAAUGAUAUCAAAAGCAUGAUUGCCUUUUAGUGGUUCUGUAUAAGAUCCAAGCAAAACAACUUCUUUGGAAUUAAACCGAAUCGUUACAGGACCAUUGCAAGCCUGAUAGAUUGUUAAUGUUAACAUGUGUUCAUUAUGAGAUAAUUUUUCAUUGACUGAUAAAUGUGUUCCAGGAGUAUCUCCUUGAUAUCAGGGUCAUAAACUGAAACCUGCUUAUUAGAUGAAAUAUGCAGGAAGAGUUACCACAUAACUUUAUAAUCCUCUAGAGCAGUGUUUCCCAACCUUGGGCCUCCAGCUGUUUUCGAACUACAAUUCCCAUCAUCCCUGACCACUGGUCUUGCUAGCUGAGGAUUAUGGGAGUUGUAGUUCAAAAACAGCUGGAGGCCCAAGGUUGGGAAAUGCUGCUCUAGAGAACCUUUUCCCAAUCUAGUGCCUUCCCGAUGUUAUUGAUCACAACCCUCAUCCCUGGCUGGGUCUGACAAGAGUUGUAGUGCAAAACACCUGGAGGGCAGCAGGUUAGAGAAGGUUGGCCUUGAGUCAGUGGUGCACUCUGGGUAGGACUUUGGACUAGAAAUCAGUGCACCACUGUCUAAGGCUGAGUCAUAUGUUAGAGUAGAAUGGCUGGUCUCUCCCACCCCCCACCCCAUGGCUAUAUUUCAUGCCUGUUCAGAAGAAUCAAGUAAAAUAGCCAGAUCAUGAGAUAAGUCCCUGUCAGUGUUGUCAAACCACGGUGACAUAUGCAGCUGAAGUGGAAACUUCCAACAUGAGUCACUGAUCCUGUUGUUUCAGUGCUCUGGGGAUUGUUGUGGAAAUGUGCAAGAGGAAUUGUUAACCCUCAAUAUCCCCAUAAGCAGCAGUGAUUCUAAUGCUGACUCCUGCUGACUUGAUCGCUGGCAGAAGUGCUUCUAUUCUCAGAGAUAACCCAGCUGUAGGUUAAUUACUGUGCUUGCCUGCUGGCCUAGAUCAUGAGACACCCAAGCCAGGUGAAGUUAAUUACAGUAAAGUCAGGUGAAGGUAGCUUAAAAAAUCACAGGGCCUGAACCAGAGAGAAAGGAGCUUCCAAGCAGGCCUAAGCUGAAAUAAGUGCUGCAUAGCCUGCUACCUCCCUGGAGCUCCAUGAAGAUUGAAGUUUGGUUAGUAUUCUAUCUUUGUAUGAAAGGAGGGCUUGUUUGCCUGGUACCAUUUUGUAAAGAAGGGUCUGGUAUGUUAGUUUAUCCUAUUUUUGUGUCUUGGCAUGUUUGGCUAUUCGAUUCUUGUGUCUAGUGUAAAGGAGAGGAUCUGUAUCAUUGAGUGUGAUGGGGCCUGCUGCUUAGUGAUUUCAGGCUGCCUUCACUACUUGUGUUUUGCGUUUGCUUCAGAGAGCCCCAAUACAGAACCCUUCUGCCUCUGGCAAGACGGGAGUGAUGUAGGAAACAAAGAAAUGGGUACAUUUCUUUUAACACUGAGGUAGGAUGCAAAUGAAAUCGGCUGAUGCAGUGUUUUCUGUAUUAGCUUCAGUUUCUAUAGUUGAAAAAAGCAUUCCUUCAGAGAGUCUGUAGGAUACUGAACGUUCCACCAGCUGCAAGGAGGGGGAGAUUCAAAAUCCAUUUUCUUGGUGUAAUUUGUGUAGCUCUGCUGAAUGUGUUGCUAUUUUCUGCCCUGCUCUGACACAGAGACAAUAAAGCGAGCCUGCCAUGGAAAUUAGGAGCAGGCCUCAAGACUUGUAGGAAGUAAUGCACUGCAGCACAAAAGAGGCCAUAAAUCAGCUGGAAACAACCACUUGGUACUAAUGGCUCAUUUGUUUGGACUUCUCUUUUGAUGGUGGCCGCCUUCUGCUGAGAUGAGGGCCAGGAGAAUAAUGUCUGCCAAAGGGUAUAUUUAAAGCAAGCCAAUAAUGAGAGCCACUGGCUUGCCAUGGAGAUUCCACUCGGGAACCUGCUUUGUAAUCUGAGAUCGCUGCAGAGAAAAAUCAAGCAUUUUGGAAAGGCAGCAUGCGCCGCCUUGCAGUGCCACCUGCCUUCUCAAGGACCUGUUAGCAACCUUGAUAAGUCAAUAGCUAGCAUUCAUGGAAAGAGAUGGGUUAGAUCCAAAUGCAUCUGAUAUUACAGGUUCUGUAGCUUUCAGAUUGUGAGUCUGAAAGUCGUUCCGAUUCUGAAGGUCAUUCUGUGAGUCAAAGCAUUUGGUCAGACAAUAAUUUCCUGAGCUUUUUAUGCUUCAGGUGAGGAGUUACACCAGUGAGAGCCCGUGUGGUGUGGUGUAGUGGUUAGAAUAUCGGACUAGGACUUGGGAGACCAGGGUUCAAAUCCAUGAAACUUGCCAGGUGACCUUGGCCCAAUAGGAGUCUCUCAGCCUAACGGAACAACCUCACAGGGUUGUUGUUAGGAUAAAAUGGGUGUGUGUGUAUCACCUUGAGCUCCUUGGAAGAAAGGUGGGUUAGAAAUAUGAUUAAUUAUAUAUAUUGCUGUGAAUGUGUAUCAAGAAGACAGAACGAGAACCCUGACAUGCUAAUUUUCUUCAAUGUGGGCCUUUUGUUUUAAAAUGCAAGAGAUUAUAUAUCAUGUGAGUAUUUGUAUGCAGUUUUGGCUAAUGUACACUUUUUUUUAUCAAUUUUCCCCAAUACACAUUUUUAUGUUAUUUUCACAAAUGUAGGCACACUUUCCCCUAAUAUACAGACUGCCCAAGAGCUGAGCUGAAUCUCAUCUAUAAGUAGUAGAUUCCUCCAAUAUCCUGACUUUUAACAGCUGUUAUAGGAAAGCAAUCCCAUUUUCACCUCACUUUUGCUUUGUAAUACUACUUUCAUGCGCUUCCAAGAACUGGAUGAAUGCAAUCUUGCAGACUGUCAUGCCAAAGACAUUAUGUGUGAGCCAUGUGUUUGCCAUUUCCAGACACCAUUCUCCUGCCCCAAGAUCACAGAAAUGGGGUAAAUUGCACAUACCUAUUUGGAACAGUGCAAAAAGGUCAGCCUGUUCUCUCUCCCUAAAAAGGUUUAAGCUACAGGAUCACUCGCAAAAUUCUGACCGAGAGGCACUCUUUAAUAUUCUGUGAAACAUUGAUGGGGGCUGUUUAAAUAAGCUGAAAUAAAACAGAAUGGUUCAUAUGCGAACCUUUGGCACAUAGCAAAGUAGUUCCUUCAGGCAGUGUUGAUCUUCUAGAGUGCAAGCUGGGUCUGAACGUGAUAAUUCCAUUGGCAGUGAGAGAAUGAUGUGUCUCACUUCUGAAACCUGUCCAAUGGCUGUUUAUUCACAGUGAGCUGAUUUAUUUGCAGUGAUUUGGAGCUGAUUGCUUUCUGGUGACAAAUACACCGCUGCUAGCCUCUUUCUGCUAGGUAAAUGUCAUUUGUAAUUGUAGCAGUCUACCUCGCUCAUUCCUAUAGUGCUGCACUUUGUGUUUUCUGGUAACGAUGCUGGUGAAGUUAGCAAGAUAUAGACACAUCAUUUGAAUCGCCACCGUUCAUCAAACUUGUUCUUAAUAGUCGAGUAACUUUACUCCAGGGUGGGAAACCUGUGGCCCUCCAUAUCAUAGAAUUGUAGAGUUGGAAGAGACCCUGAGGAUCAUCUAGUCUAACCCCCUGCAAUGCAGGAAUAUGCAGCCAUCCCAUACGGGGAUCGAACCUGCAACCUUGGGCAUUGUCAGCACCAUGCUCCUUGUUGGAUGUCAGCUCCCAUCACCCCCAGCCAGCGUAGCCAAAGGACCCCCUAUCCCUUUCUUAUCUGGAAAGUCUUAAUUCUGUUUGCAAUGAAUGAUAAGGCAUAUUUCAAGCUGAUGUUCUGGGUUUGCCUGUGCAGCUGUCAUUCAUCAAACCGGAAUGCCCAAGGUCAUCUCCGCUAUUGGCAUUUGGCUCAGAACUUUAUUACUUCAACCCCUUCCUUGAGCUUGCUGAGGAACUGUCACUUCUUCCUGCAUUUUAUUCUGCUCUUGGUAUAUCCCAUUACAGUGGUACCUUGGGUUACAUACGCUUCAGGUUAUAGACUCCGCUAACCCAGAAAUAAUACCUCGGGUUAAGAACUUUGCUUCAGGAUGAAAACAGAAAUUGUGCAGUGGCAGUGUGGCAGGCCCCAUUAGCUAAAGUGGUGCUUCAGACCUCCGGAAUGAAUUAAGUUCUUAACCCGAGGUACCACUGUACUGUUUGUGUUUUUGGGUGGCCUCCCAGUCUGAAGCCUGCUCUUUUCAUUCAUGCUUUCCCCCAGAAACCUGCAGUGUCAGGUACUGGCAAAAGGCUCCAUUUCCACCAUUUUGGAAAGGGUGAGGCUUUUUCACCAUGUCCGCAAUUGCUCAACUCUCAACAUAUUGUGUCCAACAGAGCAAUAUAAACAAGGGUCAUGGGUAGUUCUGAUGCAGCUGUAUGCUGCACUCUACCAAAUAUUAAAUGACGUAAUAUUUUAAAGACUAAAAUAUUUAUAAGAGAUAGAAGAACACUGAGGAUGUCUUUGGUUGUGAGGAGUUGACAUCUGCAGGAAUGUGGGAUAUUUUCUCUCUCAAGUUCUUAGAACAGCUGAGUGAUGAGUGAUGCUUUUAGGCAGAGAAGGGGUCUGCCUCCAGAGGUUUCCUUGUUGCAGUGGCAGAGAGCUCUGUGGUAUUAAUCCACAGCUGUAGGAAAUGGCAUGCGCUGGGCUGAGGGCAGCCUUGGAUCUGUAGCAUCCCAAGUUUGCUUGCUCCUCUGAUGCAUAUACAGACAGACACAAGUAGAAUAAUUAUCUCAGUCCCAGAGCUGUUGUGGCUGUUUUCAAUCCCAUUGGGGGGGGGGGAAUGAUAGAUUUUUGAAAUGACAACUAACUUAGCAAUUCAUAGUUAGUGGGAUAGCAAAAGUUGCUGUAUGCCUGUAUGCGGCUAGGAGCUACUCAUGAAAUCUGUUGCAGUCUGUGAGAUCAUGUGAAAGUUCAGCAAGAUCUUGCUGGAAAUUGGUGCCACUUCUCUGCUUUGGGAGUUUAUGCCACUUGAGGUGGUUGGUUCACUCCUUUUCCUGGCCUAUACUGAGUGUAGGAACAUGCUGCCCUGUCCACUUCACCCUCCCUCACAGACCACUUGCACACACACACACACACACACACACCCCGUGGACCAUUUUGACAGCAGUUUGUGGACACCUACCUGUCAAUCACCUAACAUCUAAGGAUGAAUCAGCAGACUUAAACUAUUCUGCUAGUUGCUCCUUUGCCUGCGUGGCUUGUCAUCCUUUUUAAAGAGGAGAUGACUAAAAAAUCUGCACAUAGUAUUUAUCACAGUUGAUUUACGCAGAAGAUGUGGUGUCCAUUUGUUCCAUUCUUCAUGGUUCACAUUCUGCUGAAGCAGAUGUUUUCAACGGGUCACCUACCAUGACUCAUCUCUUGUGCCUGAGGGGAGUUGCAACUAAUCCAGCAACAGAGAAGUUAAUUCCCCCCCCUCUCCCUUUCAAUUACCAACAUGAGCACCACACUUUGUUUGCUAUUUUAUUGCUUCUUAUCUCUUGUAGCAUGAGAUUAAUUUGUCAGUCUAUUUGUAAAAUAUGUAUCUACAGGACUGGCCGUGCUUUUAUUAACAUCUUUCCCCAUGUUAUUAAUGACUAUUAGACGCACCGGACCAUAAGACGCACCUAGUUUUUAGGGGAGGAAAACAAGAAAUAAGAAAGCAACACUGCGCACGGCUAAGGCUCCCCCAAGAGCUGCGCUCCCUUUAAAGAGCGCGCGGAGUGUGUGUGCGGCUCUUCGGGGCUUUUCCCUCCUCGGGGAGGGAGCCCUUCUCCACACGGCUCCUUAAAGGGAGUGCUGAGCAGAGCCUCCCUCCUGCAUUCGGUCCGUAAGACGCACACACAUCUCCCCUUACUUUUUAGGAGGGGAAAAGCACAUCUUAUAGAGCGAAAAAUACGGUAUAUAGCUCAGAACAAUGAUAUUAUCAUUAAUCAGAUGUGGCACAAAUGUUUGUUUGGCUGCAGGAAAAUGACAAAUGAACAUAUGAAACCGCCUUCUAUAAAGGAUGACACUAGUCCAGUAUUUUUUGUCCUCUGAUUUGGUUCUCCAAAAUCUCAGGCCUCUCCCACACCUUUUAACUGGAGAUGGAAUAUCUUGAGUAGUAUAUUCAAAGCAUAUGCCACUGAGCGAUGACCUCUCUCUCUUUCUAGUGUCUUGGGACAAGGAUUCUAUCUAAGUGCCCCUGCACAUGUUGACUCCCACUGGUGAUUGCAAACAGGUAUUCUUGCCAACCACUACAUAUAUUCUGGGAUAGAUCUUUUGAUAUUUGUCCCGCUUCCCUGUCUUUCAAAAGCAUCAGAGCACCUGAUCCUCU